AUUGAACGCUGGCGGCAGGCCUAACACAUGCAAGUCGAGCGGAUGAAGGGAGCUUUCUCCUGGAUUCAGCGGCGGACGGGUGAGUAAUGCCUAGGAAUCUGCCUGGUCGUGGGGGAUAACGUCCGGAAACGGGCGCUAAUACCGCAUACGUCCUGAGGGAGAAAGUGGGGGAUCUUCGGACCUCACGCUAUCAGAUGAGCCUAGGUCGGAUUAGCUAGUUGGUGGGGUAAAGGCCUACCAAGGCGACGAUCCGUAACUGGUCUGAGAGGAUGAUCAGUCACACUGGAACUGAGACACGGUCCAGACUCCUACGGGAGGCAGCAGUGGGGAAUAUUGGACAAUGGGCGAAAGCCUGAUCCAGCCAUGCCGCGUGUGUGAAGAAGGUCUUCGGAUUGUAAAGCACUUUAAGUUGGGAGGAAGAGCAGUAAGUUAAUACCUUGCUGUUUUGACGUUACCAACAGAAUAAGCACCGGCUAACUUCGUG
rnacentral:rRNA from 1 species